CCUACGGGAGGCAGCAGUGGGGAAUAUUGCACAAUGGGGGAAACCCUGAUGCAGCGACGCCGCGUGAGUGAAGACGUAAUUCGUUAUGUAAAGCUCUAUCAGUAGGGAAGAAAAUGACGGUACCUGAGUAAGAAGCCCCGGCUAACUACGUGCCAGCAGCCGCGGUAAGACGGCGGGGGCAAGCGUUAUCCGGAUUUACUGGGUGUAAAGGGAGCGUAGACGGCAGUGCAAGUCUGGAGUGAAAGGCGGGGGCUCAACCCCCGGACUGCUCUGGAAACUGUACGGCUGGAGUGCAGGAGAGGUAAGUGGAAUUCCUGGUGUAGCGGUGAAAUGCGUAGAUAUUAGGAGGAACACCAGUGGCGAAGGCAGCUUACUGGACUGUAACUGACGUUGAGGCUCGAAAGCGUGGGGAGCAAACAGGAUUAGAUACCCUAGUAGUC
rnacentral:rRNA from 1 species